rnacentral:rRNA from 1 species
AGAAUCAACGCUGGCGGCGUGCCUAACACAUGCAAGUCGCACGAGAAAGUGGAGCAAUCCAUGAGUAAAGUGGCGCACGGGUGAGUAACACGUGAAUGAUCUACCUCCGAGUGGGGAAUAACUGAGAGAAAUCUUAGCUAAUACCGCAUAAUACCCACGGGUCAAAGCAGCAAUGCGCUUGGAGAGGAGUUCGCGGCCGAUUAGCUAGUUGGCGGGGUAAUGGCCCACCAAGGCAAUGAUCGGUA